CUUUCAAGGAGAUGAGAUUCACUAUCUUUAUGUUGCUCCGUUGCAACUUUAGGGAGAUAAGACUCGCAACUUGUAGCUUCAAUCUGCUCCACUGCAACUUCAGGAAGAUAAGAUUCACCAUAAUUUUUUGCUUUAAUCUGUUCCAUUGCAACAUCAAGGAAAUAAGAUUUGCUAUCUUCGAUCUGCUCCACUGCAACUUCAAGGAGAUAAGAUCUACAACUUCGAUCUACUCUACUGCUAC
rnacentral:lncRNA from 1 species